UACGUAGGGCGCAAGCGUUGUCCGGAAUUAUUGGGCGUAAAGGGCUCGUAGGCGGUUUGUCGCGUCGGGAGUGAAAUCCACUGGCUUAACUGGUGGCUUGCUUUCGAUACGGGCAGACUGGAGGUAUGCAGGGGAGAACGGAAUUCCUGGUGUAGCGGUGAAAUGCGCAGAUAUCAGGAGGAACACCGGUGGCGAAGGCGGUUCUCUGGGCAUGUCCUGACGCUGAGGAGCGAAAGUGUGGGGAGCGAACAGG
rnacentral:rRNA from 1 species